rnacentral:rRNA from 1 species
CCUACGGGUGGCAGCAGUGGGGAAUAUUGGGCAAUGGAGGAAACUCUGACCCAGCAACGCCGCGUGAAUGAUGAAGGUCUUCGGAUUGUAAAGGUCUUUUCUAAGGGAAGAAGAAAGUGACGGUACCGUAGGAAUAAGCCUCGGCUAACUACGGGCCAGCAGCCGCGGUAAUACGUAGGAGGCAAGCGUUAUCCGGAAUGACUGGGCGUAAAGGGUGCGUAGGGGGUUCAGCAAGUUAGUAGCGUAAUUCCGGCGCUCAACUUCGGCACUACUUCGCAAACUGUUGGACUUGAGUGCAGGAGGGGCCACUGGAAUUUCUAGUGUCGCGGUGUAAUGCGUAGCUAUUAGGAAGAACACCGGUGGCGAAGGCGAGUUUCUGGACUGUACCUGACACUGCGGCACGACAGCGUGGGGAGCAAACAGGAUUAGAUACCCUUGUAGUC